GUGUGUAUUGAAAAAUAAAUUUUCAUUUUACCGACCUCAGAGCAGGUGAGAUUACC
rnacentral:rRNA from 1 species